rnacentral:rRNA from 1 species
CGGACGGGUGAGUAACGCGUAGGAAUCUACCUUAUAGUGGGGGACAACUCGAGGGAACUCGAGCUAAUACCGCAUAAUCCUUACGAGGGAAAGCAGGGGAUCUUCGGACCUUGUGCUAUUAGAUGAGCCUGCGUCGGAUUAGCUAGUUGGUAGGGUAAUGGCCUACCAAGGCAACGAUCCGUAGCUGGUCUGAGAGGAUGAUCAGCCACACUGGGACUGAGACACGGCCCAG